AUGGUGUUAGGUGUCCGGUCCCAGGCGCUGGUGGAGUCCGGAGGGGAUGUGAAAAAGCCCGGAGACUCUCUCCGCCUCUCCUGCAAAGCCUCCGGGUUCACCUUCACCAGCUACUACAUGGAUUGGGUCCGACAGGCUCCUGGCAAGGGUCUGGAGUGGGUGGCUGAGAUUAACUCGGAUGGAUCGAGCCAGUGGUACUCCCCGGCUGUUCAAGGGCGAUUCACCAUCUCCAGGGACAAUCCCAACAACCUGCUGUAUCUGCAAAUGACCGGCCUGAAGCCCGAGGACACCGCCCGGUAUUACUGUGCUAGACAAACAGAUGACGAUGGU